GCUUCAAGUGCAAUCCAAGAACAAUUGAUGGAGGUGGGAGAGGAGUGGAGGGGAUUUGUGCCACGGAACCCAGUUAAAUUCUGUCUCCUUCCCUCCCUCAUUCUUCAGUGAUAAUAGGACAGAGAGAUCACUAGCGUGGAAAAAUCUGCGGACACCGGAAAUCCCUGGCAACACACUGGAGGAACUCAGCAGUUUAAGGACUGCAAGUGAAGUGAUUGGAAGUGUCAGACAGAUGCAGCAGCCUUCCACAAAUCAUACCUGGUUUUCUGGUACAGGCCUGGGUCGCCAGACUUGAAUGCCACAGAUCUACUCUUCAGCAGACGACGUUCCUCCUGGUUCAUCCACGGCUUUUGGUUUGGGAAUGUACAGUAAGUCUUCGUAGGCACACACUCAUCCACACAGGUUUUAAUGAAGUCGUUAACAACUGCAGCAUACUCAUCCAGGUUUGAAGAUGCUGCCUGACCUGCUGAGCUCCUCUUGCAUUUUGUGUGCAUUGCUCAGGAUAUCCAGCACCUGCAGAACCUGUCGUGUUUAUAAUUUCCUUUCACUCUGAUGUUCUUUCUGCCAAUGGAUUUCUGAGUCGGCAUUGAACCCACGAACACCAACCCCUCUACCUUUUUUCCUCUUUUUUGCACUGCUUAUUUAAUUUAACUUUAUAUAUAUCUCUCACUGUAACUUACAGUUUUUACCAUUAUGUACUGCAAUGUAAUGCUGCCGCAUAAUAACAAAUUUCACGACAUAUGCCAGUGAUAUUAAACUUGAUUCUGAUUCCAGCUUUCCUUCUUUUCCUCAGUGAGGGCAAGCAAUGAGCCUUCUCUGUGAAUUUUUAAUGUCGUUGAUUUUUUUCUCUCGAGCUGGCAGUACCCUGUGCUGUCUUUCUCCAGCGUUAAUCACAGUCAUUCCAUGCCAGGCGAUAAACAUUGCCAUUCAAGCAUCUCUGUCCUCCUGCUCUAGUCUUUCCAACCAGUCUCUGACAUGGGUUCUACUCAUCCCUUAUGUCUCUUUUGGAUCAAUCUCCUGUACCCUUUUUCCCAAUAAUACCAUCCCUUUCAUUCCUAUUACCGGGUGUCAGUGAACUUCCUUCAUUUUCUUCCACAAGUACUUGAGAAAUCUAUUAUUAUCUGGGUGGGGAAACAAGCCAGUAAUAUUUGUCAUUGCUGUGGUGCUCCUAGCACUGAUCUGAUAAUGCUCCUUGACACAACUUACAUUCUUGCACUCUGUGUUUGCAAAUAGGCAUAACAUAUCCUGGAUAAUGCAUUUUCAUGAAUAUGGUGCAAAUUUGAAUUGGCAAUCUCAAUCAAGGGUUGCACUGAAAUAUUGCACAAAAUGAACAAAAUAAAUCAAAGCUCACCCUUCACAUUACAACGCAUCAGAAUCAGAAACAGGUUUAUUAUCACCGACAUAGUGUGGGUCCUGACAUUUGUCCUUUCGUGGCAGCUGUACAAUGCAAGACCUCAAAAAUUACUAUACGUUACAAUAAAAAAAAUCAAAAUGUGAGGUAAAGUUUAUCUGUUCAUGGACCGUUCAGAAAUCUGAUGUCAGAGGGGAAGAAACUGUUCCUAAAUGUUGAAUGUGACUCUUUGGACUCCUGUACCUUCCCCCCGAUGGCAGUAAUGAAAAGAGGACAUCCUGGAUGGUGAGAUUUCUAGGUGACAGAUGCUGUCUAGAGAGAGCGGAGUAGUGGGUAAGCACACAUCCUUGAGGUAUGCCUACAUUGAUUGACAGCGAGGAGCAGAUGUUAGUACUGAUCUGCACUGACUGUGGUCACAUUCAGCCUGUAUUCAUGAAUAUCACCCAUAGCAGAUAGUGCAGAGUGUUUCAGAGUUCAGUCCCGCCGUCCUCUUUAAGAAGUUUGUUUCUCCUCACCAGGACUGUGUGGGCUUCUUCAGGGUGCUGCAGUUUCCUCCCAAGGUCCAAAGACAUACUGGUCAGUGGGUUGAUUGGUCAUUGCAAAUUGUCCAGUGAUUAGAAAAGGGUUUAAUAGGCAGAUUGGUG